CUGUAUGGCCAUGCUACCCUAAACAAGCCUGAUCCUGCUCGAUCUUGGAAGCUAAGCAGGGUCAGGCCUGGUUAGUACCUGGAUGGGAGACUACUUAGGAAGAUCAGGUGCUGUAGACA
rnacentral:rRNA from 1 species